UAAAACUUUCAACAACGGAUCUCUUGGUUCUCGCAUCGAUGAAGAACGCAGCGAAAUGCGAUAAGUAGUGUGAAUUGCAGAAUUCAGUGAAUCAUCGAAUCUUUGAACGCACAUUGCGCCUCCUGGCAUUCCGGGAGGCAUGCCUGUUCGAGCGUCAUGAASACCAUUUCAAGCUCURUUGCUUGGUUGUGGAGGUUGAGCGUUGCCCGCGUGCUCGUUCGAGGUUGAAAUUAAGAGGCGGACUGUUUCACGUAUUACCUGGUGUUAUAGGAUAACCCUUUCGCUUGGACUCGUGAAGCUGUCCUGUCAAAAAUCCCCCAUUUAWUCWGNGGUUGACCUCGGAUCAGGUAGGGAUACCCGCUGAACUUAAGCAUAUCAAUAA
rnacentral:rRNA from 1 species